GUGCUCGCUUCAGCAGCACAUAUACUAAAAGUUGGAAUGAUACAGAGAAGAUUAGCAUGGCCCCUAUGCAAGGAUGACACGCAAAAUCAUGAAGCGUUCCGUAUUUGU
rnacentral:snRNA from 1 species